rnacentral:rRNA from 1 species
GACGAACGCUGGCGGCGUGCCUAAUACAUGCAAGUAGAACGCUGAAGGAGGAGCUUGCUUCUCUGGAUGAGUUGCGAACGGGUGAGUAACGCGUAGGUAACCUGCCUGGUAGCGGGGGAUAACUAUUGGAAACGAUAGCUAAUACCGCAUAAUAUUGACUAUUGCAUGAUAGUCAGUUGAAAGGUGCAACUGCACCACUACCAGAUGGACCUGCGUUGUAUUAGCUAGUGGGUGGGGUAACGGCUCACCAAGGCGACGAUACAUAGCCGACCUGAGAGGGUGAUCGGCCACACUGGGACUGAGACACGGCCCAGACUCCUACGGGAGGCAGCAGUAGGGAAUCUUCGGCAAUGGACGGAAGUCUGACCGAGCAACGCCGCGUGAGUGAAGAAGGUUUUCGGAUCGUAAAGCUCUGUUGUAAGAGAAGAACGAGUGUGAGAGUGGAAAGCUCACACUGUGACGGUAUCUUACCAGAAAGGGACGGCUAACUACGUG